rnacentral:rRNA from 1 species
CCACGGGAGGCAGCAGUGGGGAAUAUUGGUCAAUGGGCGAAAGCCUGAUCCAGCCAUGCCGCGUGUGUGAAGAAGGCCUUCGGGUUGUAAAGCACUUUCAGUGGGGAAGAAAGCCUUGGGGCUAAUACCCUCGAGGAAGGACAUCACCCACAGAAGAAGCACCGGCUAACUCCGUGCCAGCAGCCGCGGUAAUACGGAGGGUGCGAGCGUUAAUCGGAAUUACUGGGCGUAAAGCGCGCGUAGGCGGUCUGAUAAGCCGGUUGUGAAAGCCCCGGGCUCAACCUGGGAACGGCAUCCGGAACUGUCAGGCUAGAGUGCAGGAGAGGAAGGUAGAAUUCCCGGUGUAGCGGUGAAAUGCGUAGAGAUCGGGAGGAAUACCAGUGGCGAAGGCGGCCUUCUGGACUGACACUGACGCUGAGGUGCGAAAGCGUGGGUAGCAAACAGGAUUAGAUACCCGGGUAGUC